UACGAAGGGUGCAAACGUUGCUCGGAAUUAUUGGGCGUAAAGCGCACGUAGGCGGCUUAGCAAGUCGGAAGUGAAAGCCCUCGGCUCAACCAAGGAAGUGCUUUCGAAACUGCUGAGCUUGAGUACUUAAGAGGAUCGCGGAAUUCCCGGUGUAGAGGUGAAAUUCGUAGAUAUCGGGAGGAACACCAGUGGCGAAGGCGGCGAUCUGGGAAGAUACUGACGCUGAGGAGCGAAAGCGUGGGGAGCGAACAGG
rnacentral:rRNA from 1 species